rnacentral:rRNA from 1 species
AUUGAACGCUGGCGGCAGGCCUAACACAUGCAAGUCGAGCGAGCGGCGGACGGGUGAGUAAUGUAUGGGGACUGCCCGUUAGAGGGGGAUAACUACUGGAAACGGUAGCUAAUACCGCAUACUAUCCGAUAACCCAUAUGGGAUUAGCUAGUAGGUGAGGUAAUGGCUAACCUAGGCGACGAUCCCUAGCUGGUCUGAGAGGAUGAUCAGCCACACUGGGACUGAGACAAGGCCCAGACUCCUACGGAGGCAGCAGUGGGGAAUAUUGCGCAAUGGGCGCAAGCCUGAUGCAGCCAUGCCGCGUGUAUGAAGAAGGCCGUAGGGUUGUAAAGUACUUUCGGUCGAGAAGCGUUACCUACAGAAUAAGCAACGGCUAACUCCGUGCCAGCAGCCGCGGUAAUUC